rnacentral:rRNA from 1 species
UACGUAGGGUGCGAGCGUUGCCCGGAUUUAUUGGGCGUAAAGGGCGCGUAGGCGGCCACGCACCGUCCGUUGUGAAAUCGCCCCGGCUCAACUGGGCGGGGGUCAGCGGAUACGGUGUGGCUCGAGCAAGCUAGGGGGCAAUGGAAUUCCCGGUGUAGUGGUGGAAUGCGUAGAUAUCGGGAGGAACACCAGUGGCGAAGGCGGUUGCCUGGAGCUUUGCUGACG